AGAAAGCAGUCUGCCAAUUGAUAGAAUGAGGAAACUUCUGGGCGGUUUCCUUCCAACCAAUGAUGGAAAUUUGAAGUUUGGAAACAUCACAUACCCUGUCGUACAGCCUGGAUAAGCUUGUCUGUCCUGGCCUCCUGUCAUUUUAUCAAGAAUGAACUGAGGAGCAAUAUGGAGCCAACCAGGAGCUAAACUAAAGGUUAGAGUCACCAAUUUGAUUAGUU
rnacentral:lncRNA from 1 species